ensembl:snRNA U6 U6 spliceosomal RNA
GCCCUCACUUCAGCAGCACCUAUGCUAAAAUUGGGAUGAUACAGAGAAAAUUAGCGUGGCCCCUGCGCAAGAAAUACGAAAGUCUACAACUAACAACAAUAACUCCU